rnacentral:rRNA from 1 species
UACGUAGGGUGCAAGCGUUAAUCGGAAUUACUGGGCGUAAAGCGUGCGCAGGCGGUUAUAUAAGACAGUUGUGAAAUCCCCGGGCUCAACCUGGGAACUGCAUCUGUGACUGUAUAGCUAGAGUACGGUAGAGGGGGAUGGAAUUCCGCGUGUAGCAGUGAAAUGCGUAGAGAUGUGGAGGAACACCGAUGGCGAAGGCAGCCCCCUGGGUCAAGAUUGACGCUCAUGCACGAAAGCGUGGGGAGCAAACAGG